rnacentral:lncRNA from 1 species
CCUCUAUAAAAAAAAAUACAACAAAAACUAUUAGUAUUUCCUCUACCAAAAAAAUAAAAAUAUCUUUUUCAAAAAAAAGUUACACCACCACCUACUAUAGUCUAUACACCACCAAUCCAUUGCUUCAUCCCCCAAUCCAUCUCCCCUCUUCCCACAAACCUCUCUCUCUCUCUCUCUCUCUCUCUCUCUCUCUAGGUGUGUGUGUGUGAAAAACGGUAGGAAUGAAAAGGGAUGUUAAUUAAUUUAUUUAUGAUAAAAAUAAUAGAAGAUGAUCUUUGUUCUGGUUAUGAAAUGAAAUUAUAUGAUACAGUAUAUUAUUUGAAAGUGAAUAU